rnacentral:rRNA from 1 species
AGUAACGGCGAGUGAACGGAGAUUAGCCCAGCACCGAAGCCUAUCCGCACUUGUGGACAGGGCAAUGUGGUGUCUAGGCGUGUGCCUGGGGUGACUCGUCUAUUCGAAGUCCAAUUCUGAUUCUGGCAUUGGAUUUGUCCCAUAGAGGGUGAAAGGCCCGUACGGAUAGACAUGCAGCAUUUUUGAGUCACUCUCGGAUGCACGCGCCUCGGAGUCGGAUUGCUUGAGAAUGCAGUCCAAAGUGGGUGGUAAACUCCAUCCAAGGCUAAAUACCUGCACGAGUCCGAUAGUAAACAAGUACCGUGAGGGAAAGUUGAAAAGUACUCUGAAGAGAGAGUAAAUAGUACGUGAAGCUGCCUGUCGAGAAGCUGGUGGAGUCAAGCUUCGUGUCUGGAUGAUUAGCCGCGAGUGGCCUAUUGGUGUUUUGCGUCUUACUCAUGGUUUACCUGUAAAUGGUAGAGCGGUUUUCCGUCUCUAGCUUGCUGGUCAGCAGGCUUGUGCUAUGAGUAUUGGCGUGCCACUCGUACCCUAUCACUGGACAGUCAUCACGGCUGAUAGUCUUAUUGGUGCCCGGUGGCCAAACCAUGUCUGUGUGGGUUAACACUCACUGGGCGUGGGAUGGCAGGUGGUCGCGUAGGCAGCAAUGUCUUCGCUACUUAUACUGAAUUUAUUCAGCCGUCCACCGGGCCUUUGUUGCUAUUCUCGACUAUCAGUGAAUGUCCUGUUGUCUGCCUUCGGGUGUGCAGCAGUGAGAGCCGUGGUGUUGAAGUAGAUUUUCCACCCGACCCGUCUUGAAACACGGACCAAGGAGUUUAACAUGCGCGCAAGUCAAUGGGCUCUACGAAUCCCAGUGGCGUAAUGAAAGUAAAUGGUCAGUUUGCUGGCCUUAGGUGUGAUUCCGGGCGACCUCUCACUGGGAGCUUGGACGCAACACCGGCCCGUCUCAAGAUGUAGUCAUGAUUGCAUUCGCAGUUGUGCGUCAUCGAGGCGGCGCAAGAGCGUGCAUGUUGAGACCCGAAAGAUGGUGAACUAUGCUUGCGUAGGUCGAAGCCAGAGGAAACUCUGGUGGAGGACCGUCGCGGUUUUGACGUGCAAAUCGAUCGUCAAACGUGUGCAUAGGGGCGAAAGACUAAUCGAACCAUCUGGUAGCUGGUUCCCUCCGAAGUUUCCCUCAGGAUAGCUGGCAAUCAUUUCGCUGUACAGUUUUAUCCGGUAAAGCGAAUGAUUAGAGGUAUUGGGGACUAAUUGUCCUCAACCUAUUCUCAAACUAUAAAUGGGUACGAUGCUGGACUCGCUUAAUUGGAGUGUUAGCAUUGAAUGUGAUUGCCAAGUGGGCCAUUUUUGGUAAGCAGAACUGGCGCUGUGGGAUGCUCCGAACGUGCAGUUAAGGUGCCAAACGCGGACGCUCAUGAGACACCAAAAAAGGUGUUAAUGCAUAUAGACAGCAGGACGGUGGCCAUGAAAGUCGGAACCCGCUAAGGAGUG